CCUUCGGUAGCUCAGUUGGUAGAGCGGUGGACUGUAGUGGAUAAUAGAUCAGUGAUCCAUAGGUCGCUGGUUCAAAUCCGGCCCGAAGGC
rnacentral:tRNA from 1 species